GCAGAAGUAGUUCAGUGGCAGAACAUCAGCUUCCCAAGCUGAAUAUGGGGGUUCGAUUCCCCUCUUCUGCUCCA
rnacentral:tRNA from 1 species